rnacentral:rRNA from 1 species
GACAGAGGGUGCGAACGUUGUUCGGAAUUACUGGGCGUAAAGCGCAUGUAGGCGGCAGCGCAAGUCGGGCGUGAAAUCCCACGGCUCAACCGUGGAAGUGCACUCGAAACUGCGCAGCUAGAGUCCUGGAGAGGAAGGUGGAAUGCUUGGUGUAGAGGUGAAAUUCGUAGAUAUCAAGCGGAACACCGGUGGCGAAGGCGGCCUUCUGGGACAGUGACUGACGCUGAGAUGCGAAAGCGUGGGGAGCAACAGGG